UACAGAGGGUGCAAGCGUUGUUCGGAAUUAUUGGGCGUAAAGCGCGUGUAGGCGGCUUUGCAAGUCGGGUGUGAAAGCCCUCAGCUCAACUGAGGAAGUGCGCCCGAAACUGCAGAGCUUGAGUGCCGGAGAGGGUGGCGGAAUUCCCCAAGUGAGAGGUGAAAUUCGUCAGAUAUGGGGAGGAACACCGGUGGCGAAGGC
rnacentral:rRNA from 1 species